rnacentral:lncRNA from 10 species
GCAAACCUGCGUGUUUUCACCUUCUAUAAACACCCGCACGGGGCGACUCUUAUGACUCCAUUUUAACACUCGGUCUUGGGCAAACGCGUUCAUCCCGCAACUGCAUUCCUGAUGUUCUUUGGUGUGUGUGCGUGUGUGUGUACAUAUGUGUAUAUGUGUGUGUAUGUAUAUAUGUAUGUGUGUGUAUAUUUUAUAAUACAUGUAUAAUAUAUGUAUAAUUUGUGUGUAUGUGUAUAUAUUCCCCCCCACCCCCACCCCCACCCCCUUUCAGUGGAAUCUGUGGUUGAGUCAUCUAAGGAGAGGGGAAGGCAGAGGAGGGGUAAAAGGUAGUGAUGGGAGGGGUGGGGGAAAUUUCAGCGGCGAUUUGUUUUCUCCGAAGAGGGUCCGUAGGGGCAUCCCCGUCCACCCUCGCCAGCUCCAUAUAUGGCCAGGCUACGUGGGUUGCUAUUUUUAUGAGUGAUUGCUUCAUGUUAUCGAAGCAGCGUCGAGGGCUUGUGGCUCUCGUUGCUGUGGUCAGCCGGGCAGCGAGGCUGGCGCACGUUAUUUUGAACUACGUCAGAGCCAGGCUCUCUGAGCUGUUGCAGGAGUCGGGGGAAGGAGAAGGGAAGCGGAGUUAGCCCAGCCAGCGUGGGUUUGCAAGGACUCGAGGCUUGAAGUUGAGUUGUUUGCCGAGGGCAAAAACGGAUGACUCUGCUUUCGGUGGAAUUUGCAGUCGGUGCUGGGGUUUCAUGCUGGGUGUCUUAGGGGUACCCCACGGAGGCACAGACGCCCCGAGGGAACCGUCCAAACGGCCGGGAGGAGGUGGGGGAUUCAGAGCAAGGACGGCUGGGACACGGCCGAAUCUGGGGGUUCACUCAGUGCGCAAACCCCGGGGUACCCGUGCAGGCUGCCUCGGGGGGCCCUCGGAUGCUCAAAUCAGGGCGGGGAGACAAAGGCUACUUGUGCUGGUCGUAUUAGAGAUUAAAAGUGAUAAUUAUAAAGCAACAACCCUAACUGUCCUCCCUGGCCGUGCCCGGGCCCGGGAAGGGGGUGGUGCGCGGAUC